rnacentral:rRNA from 1 species
UACCAGCACCCCGAGUGGUCGGGACGAUUAUUGGGCCUAAAGCAUCCGUAGCCGGUUCUACAAGUCUUCCGUUAAAUCCACCUGCUUAACAGAUGGGCUGCGGAAGAUACUAUAGAGCUAGGAGGCGGGAGAGGCAAGCGGUACUCGAUGGGUAGGGGUAAAAUCCGUUGAUCCAUUGAAGACCACCAGUGGCGAAGGCGGCUUGCCAGAACGCGCUCGACGGUGAGGGAUGAAAGCUGGGGGAGCAACCGGG